rnacentral:lncRNA from 12 species
GGCCAUGUUUCCUGGGGGACCAUGGUAGGGGUGCACUAGGUCUCGUCCAAGGCAGCUGCAGAGGGUCAGGUUACAGCAAUGUAGGUCACAUGCUCCAGCCUGGGCAGACCAAGGAUCCAGCACAUUAUCUGGCCCCAGCCUUUCCCUGUCACUGCUCCAGCAUGCUGCAGCCUGGGCUCUGGAUGGCCCUGGCCCCUCUGCUUGGUGCCCUCAGUGCAGUCCUCAGCCAGUGUCUGCAGUGCCCAGCAGGAUACUACUGCCCCAGCCAAGCCACCCACCCCAUCCCGUGCCAGCCAGGCACAUUUAGCCCGAACCCAGGCCAGGAUGAAGCCACAGACUGCAUUCCGUGCCCAGCAGGCAGGGCCUGUACCCAGGCUGGACUGACUCGGCCAGAUGCAAACUGCACACCAGGGUAAGGACCUUUGCUUUCUCAGUGAUAGAGGGGACUGGCUGGGGGUUCAGAGCCCUCCCACCAUUCAAG